GUUCACUUCAGCAGUACAUAUACUGAAACUGGAACAAUACAGAGAACAUUAGCAUGGCCCCAGUGCAAGAAUGACAGGCAAACUCGUGAAGUGUUCCCUACUUUG